rnacentral:rRNA from 1 species
GACGAACGCUGGCGGCGUGCUUAACACAUGCAAGUCGAACGAAGAGCGAUGGAAGCUUGCUUCUAUCACUCUUAGUGGCGAACGGGUGAGUAACGCGUAAUCAACCUGCCCUUCAGAGGGGGACAACAGUUGGAAACGACUGCUAAUACCGCAUACGAUCUAAUCUCGGCAUCGAGGAUAGAUGAAAGGUGGCCUCUACAUGUAAGCUAUCACUGAAGGAGGGGAUUGCGUCUGAUUAGCUAGUUGGAGGGGUAACGGCCCACCAAGGCGAUGAUCAGUAGCCGGUCUGAGAGGAUGAACGGUCACAUUGGGACUGAGACACGGCCCAGACUCCUACGGGAGGCAGCAGUGGGGAAUCUUCCGCAAUGGACGAAAGUCUGACGGAGCAACGCCGCGUGAGUGAUGACGGCCUUCGGGUUGUAAAGCUCUGUUAAUCGGGACGAAAGGCCUUCUUGCGAAUAGUGAGAAGGAUUGACGGUACCGGAAGAGAAAGCCACGGCUAACUACGUG